AGUGAACGCUGGCGGUAGGCCUAACACAUGCAAGUCGAACGGCAGCACAGUAAGAGCUUGCUCUUACGGGUGGCGAGUGGCGGACGGGUGAGGAAUACAUCGGAAUCUACUUUUUCGUGGGGGAUAACGUAGGGAAACUUACGCUAGUACCGCAUACGACCUACGGGUGAAAGCAGGGGAUCUUCGGACCUUGCGCGAUUGAAUGAGCCGAUGUCGGAUUAGCUAGUUGGCGGGGUAAAGGCCCACCAAGGCGACGAUCCGUAGCUGGUCUGAGAGGAUGAUCAGCCACACUGGAAGUGAGACACGGUCAAGACUCCUACGGGAGGCAGCAGUGGGGAAUAUUGGACAAUGGGCGCAAGCCUGAUCCAGCCAUACCGCGUGGGUGAAGAAGGCCUUCGGGUUGUAAAGCCCUUUUGUUGGGAAAGAAAAGCAGCAGGUUAAUACCCCGCUGUCCUGACGGUACCCAAAGAAUAAGCACCGGCUAACUUCGUG
rnacentral:rRNA from 1 species